AUGCUCACUUUGCCAGCACAUAUAAUAAAAUUGGAAUGAUACAGAAAGGAUUAGCCUGGCUCCUGCAUAAGAAUAACACACAAAUUUGUGAAGCAUUUCACAUUUUU
ensembl:snRNA U6 U6 spliceosomal RNA